CAAAGAAAAAGUGUGAUUUUUCAAGGAAUCAAGUGUUUAAAGGUGGUGAGCUAUCUGAUACGGGUAAAAGACUACACCCGAGGACCGAGAAUAGGAGUAUAUCUACUCCUAGUACAGCUCAGAAUAGGUAAUAGACUGUCAAUUGCAUCGAGAA